AGCGUAGACGGCGUAUCAAGCCUGAUGUGAAAGGCAUGGGCUCAACCCGUGGACUGCAUUGGAAACUGGUAUGCUUGAGUGCCGGAGGGGUAAGCGGAAUUCCUAGUGUAGCGGUGAAAUGCGUAGAUAUUAGGAGGAACACCAGUGGCGAAGGCGGCUUACUGGACGGUAACUGACGUUGAGGCUCGAAAGCGUGGGGAGCAAACA
rnacentral:rRNA from 1 species